AAAUAGCUCAAUUGGGAGAGCGUCAGAUUGAAGAUCUGAAGAUCCCGUGUUCAAUCCAUGGUGGCUGCA